CAGCAGCCGCGGGAAUACGGAGGGGGCUAGCGUUGUUCGGAAUUACUGGGCGUAAAGCGCACGUAGGCGGAUCGAUCAGUCAGGGGUGAAAUCCCAGAGCUCAACUCUGGAACUGCCUUUGAUACUGUCGAUCUGGAGUAUGGAAGAGGUGAGUGGAAUUCCGAGUGUAGAGGUGAAAUUCGUAGAUAUUCGGAGGAGCACCAGUGGCGAAGGCGGCUCACUGGCCCAUUACUGACGCUGAGGUGCGAAAGCGUGGGGAGCAAACAGGAUUAGAUACCCCAGUAGUCCCUGUCUCUUAUAA
rnacentral:rRNA from 1 species